GAUGAACGCUAGCGGCAGGCUUAACACAUGCAAGUCAGGGCAGCAUAACAUUGCUUGCAAUGUUUGAUGGCGACCGGCGCACGGGUGCGUAACGCGUAUGUAACCUACCUCAAACAGGGGCAUAACACUGAGAAAUUGGUACUAAUUCCCCCAUAACACUUUGGGAGGCAUCUCCUGGAGUUGAAAGUUCCGGCGGUUUGAGACGGACAUGCGUGACAUUAGCUAGAUGGAGAGGUAACGGCUCACCAUGGCGACGAUCAGUAGCCGGUCUGAGAGGAUGAACGGCCACAUUGGGACUGAGACACGGCCCAAACUCCUACGGGAGGCAGCAGUGGGGAAUAUUGGGCAAUGGGCGAAAGCCUGACCCAGCAACGCCGCGUGAGGGAAGAAGGUUCUCGGAUUGUAAACCUCUGUCCUUGGUGACGAAGGAAGUGACGGUAGCCAAGGAGGAAGCCCCGGCUAACUACGUG
rnacentral:rRNA from 1 species